ACAGUGGUAGCUCAGUGGUAGAAUUCUUGCCUUCCAUGUGGGAGACCUGGGUUUAAUUCCCAGCCAGUGCG
rnacentral:tRNA from 1 species